rnacentral:rRNA from 1 species
AACGAACGCUGGCGGUAUGCUUAACACAUGGAAGUCGAACGAACAAAAUUGGGGCUUGCUCCAAUUUUAGUGAGUGGCAAACGGGUGAGUAACACGUGGGAAUCUACCUAUCAGUACGGAAUAACAUUUGGAAACAGAUGCUGAUACCGUAUAUUCUCCAAGGAGGAAAGAUUUAUCGCUGAUAGAUGAGCCCGCGUAAGAUUAGGUAGUUGGUAGGGUAAUGGCCUACCAAGCCGACGAUCUUUAGCUGGUCUGAGAGGAUGAUCAGCCACACUGGGACUGAGACACGGCCCAGACUCCUACGGGAGGCAGCAGUGGGGAAUAUUGGACAAUGGGCGAAAGCCUGAUCCAGCAAUACCGCGUGAAUGAUGAAGGCCUUAGGGUUGUAAAGUUCUUUUAGUUGGAAAGAUAAUGACGGUACCAACAGAAAAAGCCCCGGCUAACUCCGUGCCAGCCGCCGCAGUAA